rnacentral:sRNA from 1 species
GCUGGGCAUGGUGGCACAUGCCUAUAAUCCCAGCAACUUAGGAGGCUGGGGCAGGAGAAUCCCAAAUUUAAGGCUAGCAACUUGGUGAGACCUUGUCUCAA